UGGAGAGAGGGGGGGGGGAGAGAGAGAGUUAAGGAAGGGAGGCAGUACAGACUCAGGAGAGUGACUGUGAGUAUUGUGAAGGUUCUGAAGAGCUCGGUGGACCGGCGUGACACAGCAUGAAUGGCAGCAACAUGGCAGACGGGCCCUACUACCAGAACCACGGCUUCCACCACGAGGAGGCCCGACCCCCUCCGUACUCCCCACACCCAGGGAUGUACCCCCACUCUGGCCCUGCCCUCCUACGCCUGUCGCCCAGCCGAUCCCCCAGAUCAUCAGCACCCAGCACACUGUGACCGUCGGGCCUGCCGCAUGGCACACAACCAGA